UUACGGCCAUAACACGUUCAGACACCGGUUCUCGUCUGAUCACCGAAGUUAAGUAACGUCGAGCCUGGUCAGUAACUAAAUGGGUGACUGCUUGU